UGGGGAAUAUUGGACAAUGGGCGCAAGCCUGAUCCAGCCAUGCCGCGUGAGUGAUGAAGGCCUUAGGGUUGUAAAGCUCUUUUAGCGGGGAAGAUAAUGACGGUACCCGCAGAAAAAGCCCCGGCUAACUACGUGCCAGCAGCCGCGGUAAUACGAAGGGGGCUAGCGUUGCUCGGAAUUACUGGGCGUAAAGCGCACGUAGGCGGACUCUUAAGUCGGUGGUGAAAUCCUGGAGCUCAACUCCAGAACUGCCUUCGAUACUGGGAGUCUUGAGUUCGGGAGAGGUAAGUGGAACUGCAAGUGUAGAGGUGAAAUGCGUAGAUAUUCGGAAGAACACCAGUGGCGAAGGCGGCUUACUGGACCGAUACUGACGCUGAGGUGCGAAAGCGUGGGGAGCAAACA
rnacentral:rRNA from 1 species